GCCCGUUUAGCUUAGGGGUAGAGCGUUGCACUUGUAUUUUCAGAAUGUACUGGAAUGCAAAGGUCACUGGUUCGAUUCCAGUAUCGGGCA
rnacentral:tRNA from 2 species